ensembl:lncRNA
CAGUGAUUGAGCUCCUGGUGGGAAGGCAGGGCCAACCCAGGUGCAUGCAAUGUACCUAAGUGAUGGGAGUGAUGGAAGGGGUGGAGCCAGGAUUCACCCCUUCCCAGACCUCAUUUAAGGGUUAGCAGGGAGAGGCAAAGUAUUUUGCUGGAGACCCCUGCAUACCUGAGACCUUCCAAAAUAGGACCAGCAACUUUAUAACUACACAGAGAACAAAGCAAAUUUAACUUAUGAAGACAGUUGUGUCUAGUCCAGCAAGAAACAAACUCCAAGAAGCAUUUUGCUGCAGGCCUAAAGAGGCUUGUGAUUGGCGAGCUGC